AGUGAACGCUGGCGGUAGGCCUAACACAUGCAAGUCGAACGGCAGCACAGUAAGAGCUUGCUCUUACGGGUGGCGAGUGGCGGACGGGUGAGGAAUACAUCGGAAUCUUCUUUUUCGUGGGGGAUAACGUAGGGAAACUUAUGCUAAUACCGCAUAUGACCUACGGGUGAAAGCAGGGGUUCUUCGGACCUUGCGCGAUUGAAUGAGCCGAUGUCGGAUUAGCUAGUUGGCGGGGUAAAGGCCCACCAAGGCGACGAUCCGUAGCUGGUCUGAGAGGAUGUUCAGCCACACUGGAACUGAGACACGGUCCAGACUCCUACGGGAGGCAGCGGUGGGGAAUAUUGGACAAUGGGGACAAUCCUGAUCCAGCCAUACCGCGUGGGUGAAGAAGGCCUUCGGGUUGUAAAGCCCUUUUGUUGGGAAAGAAAUGCAGCAGGUUAAUACCCCGCUGUUCUGACGGUACCCAAAGAAUAAGCACCGGCUAACUUCGUG
rnacentral:rRNA from 1 species